GGUGGACAAGUCCUUCUCCCCUUGCCGGAGCGUGUGGAGGAGUGAUGGGCAGAACCAGCGCUUCCCUCAGGCACUAGACCUGUCACAAGUGGACUUAGUUCCCUCUCAUCCUACUUCACUCUACCCUAAGAACACAGAUCUGUUUGAGAUGAUUGAAAAGAUGCAGGGAAGCAGGAUGGAUGAACAGCGAUGCUCCUUCCCGCCACCCCUCAAAACAGAGGAGGACUAUAUUCCCUACCCGAGCGUCCAUGAGGUCCUGGGGCGAGAAGGGCCCUUCCCUCUCAUCCUGCUGCCCCAGUUUGGGGGCUAUUGGAUCGAGGGCACCAACCAUGAAAUCACCAGCAUCCCCGAGACAGAGCCACUGCAGUCACCCACCACCAAGGUGAAGCUGGAGUGUAACCCCACAGCCCGCGUCUACCGGAAGCACUUUCUCGGCAAGGAGCACUUCAACUACUACUCACUGGACACUGCCCUCGGCCACCUGGUCUUCUCACUCAAGUAUGAUGUCAUUGGGGAUCAAGAGCACCUGCGGCUGCUGCUCAGGACCAAGUGCCGGACAUACCACGAUGUCAUCCCCAUCUCCUGCCUCACCGAGUUCCCUAACGUGGUCCAGAUGGCAAAGCUGGUGUGUGAAGACGUCAAUGUGGAUCGAUUCUACCCUGUGCUCUACCCCAAGGCUUCCAGGCUCAUCGUCACCUUUGAUGAGCAUGUCAUCAGCAAUAACUUCAAGUUCGGAGUCAUUUAUCAGAAGCUCGGGCAGACCUCAGAGGAAGAACUCUUCAGUACCAACGAGGAGAGCCCAGCCUUCGUGGAGUUCCUGGAGUUCCUGGGUCAGAAGGUCAAACUGCAGGACUUCAAGGGGUUCCGAGGAGGCCUGGACGUGACCCAUGGGCAGACGGGGACCGAGUCUGUGUACUGCAACUUCCGCAACAAGGAGAUCAUGUUUCACGUGUCCACCAAGCUGCCCUACACAGAAGGGGACGCCCAGCAGUUGCAGCGGAAGAGACACAUCGGGAACGACAUCGUCGCUGUGGUCUUCCAGGAUGAGAACACGCCCUUUGUGCCCGACAUGAUCGCAUCCAACUUCUUGCAUGCCUAUGUGGUGGUGCAGGCUGAGGGAGGGGGCCCUGAUGGCCCGCUCUAUAAGGUCUCGGUCACGGCAAGGGAUGAUGUGCCCUUCUUUGGGCCCCCCCUUCCGGACCCUGCGGUGUUUAGGAAGGGGCCUGAGUUCCAGGAAUUUUUGCUGACGAAGCUGAUCAAUGCUGAAUACGCGUGCUACAAGGCCGAGAAGUUUGCCAAACUGGAGGAGCGGACGCGCGCCGCCCUGCUAGAGACGCUCUACGAGGAGCUGCACAUCCACAGCCAGUCCAUGAUGGGCCUGGGCGGCGACGAGGACAAGAUGGAGAACGGCGGCGGCGGGGGCGGCUUCUUCGAGUCUUUCAAGCGGGUCAUCCGGAGCCGGAGCCAGUCCAUGGAUGCCAUGGGGCUAAGCAACAAGAAGCCCAACACCGUGUCCACCAGCCACAGUGGGAGCUUUGCACCCAACAACCCUGAUCUGGCCAAGGCUGCUGGAAUAUCAUUGCUUAUUCCUGGGAAAAGCGCGAGUAGAUUCGGACGCCGGGGCAGUGCCAUAGGCAUAGGAACCGUGGAGGAGUCACUCAUUGUCCCUGGGAAGAGCCCCACAAGGAAGAAGUCGGGCCCGUUUGGCUCCCGCCGCAGCAGCGCCAUCGGGAUCGAGAACAUCCAGGAGGUGCAGGAGAAGAGGCCUGGCGCUGAACCCCCCCGCUGCCCCCGUGUGCCCCGCAGGGAGAGCCCUCCGGCUGGCCAGAAGACCCCGGACAGCGGGCACGUGUCCCAGGAGCCCAAGUCGGAGAACUCGUCCACCCAGAGCUCCCCGGAGAUGCCCACCACCAAGAACAGGGCGGAGACCGCAGCCCAGAGAGCAGACGCUCUGAAGGACUUCUCCCGCUCCUCGUCCAGCGCCAGCAGCUUCGCCAGCGUGGUGGAGGAGACGGAGGGCGGGGACGGGGAGGACACGGGCCUGGACAGCGUCUCGUCCUCAGGGACACCCCACAAGCGGGACUCGUUCCUCUACAGCACGUGGCUGGAGGACAGCAUCAGUACGACCAGCGGGGGCAGCUCCCCAGUGAGGUGGCUCCCUCCUGCCCCCCUCCCCAGGCCCCUCACGGUCACCCCACCCAGACGCCGGCAAGUCGGGGGACCCUGCAUGUCCCGAGAUCAAGAUCCAGCUGGAAACGUCUGAGCAGCACCUGCCGCAGCUGGGCUGUUAGCCGCCCGCCAGGAAGGUGCCGCUAAGCAGAUGAGGCCACAGAAGCACAAGGUGAAGAUUCUGUGUCAAGCCAGGCAGCUGGGACCUCUGCCCUCAAGGCCGCUGGCCCUGGAGCUGCCCGGCCUCCCAGCCCCCCCUCGGCCCACCCCCCUGGGCUGUCUCUGCAGGGCGGAGCCAUCCAGACCUGGGCCGGGAAGCUGCUGGCACCAUCCUGUCCCCCAGGCUGGAGGUCUGGGCUUGGCCAGGGAUUGGUCAGUGAAGCAGGACUGCAGGUCUAGCUAGCCUCCCCCCUGGGUCUCUGUCACCCCUGGGUGCCCCCCUGGACUUAGGGGGGGCAGGGUGGGAGAGGCAGAUUGGGAGAGGUCAGUGCACACAGAGCCUACCAGGUAGGCGGCAGGACACGAGACGUGUGGAGUGGGCGCUGGCUGGGAGUCCUGGCUCCUGAUGGGGGUUUGGCUGUGUGACACUGGGCAAGUCACUCACCUUCUCUGGGCUACAACUGGACACGAUUAUUUCAGAGGUCACUGAAGACUGGUCCCACCACCUGCAUCAGAAGGGGGAGUGUGUCCCCCAGAACGUCCCAUCACACUAAUCUGCUUCUUGAGGUCCCUGAGGCCCCCGGUGGCUAAUGGCAGGGAGGUGGCGUGCCCAUUGCCCCUCCUGGAGCCUCAGCCUGGCCACAGAUCUGCUGAUGCCCUGUCCACUGCCUACACGUGACAGAAAAGUGACCCCGUGUCGGGGGCACCUGGCUCCUGCGGCCCAGCUUAACCCCCGCUGUCCUGCGCUCCUGGGCACCCAAGGCUGAGGGGUCUCAGCUGGCCUGGAGCUGCGGGCUGGCCACCCCCCGCCCACUGCUAUGGAGGGGUCAGCCAGGCACAGCUGCUGUGAGUCCCUGUCCCCGUGUGUCUGUCCACACUUUUAGGUGCCACGCCAAAGGCCAGCCUCCGGCCACCACCCACUUUGGAAGCCCCAGUGGCUGUGUGUAUGUCAGUGACAUUGUACAAAAUAAAUUCUAUUUAUCGCUAUUGUA